rnacentral:rRNA from 1 species
CAAUAGCGUAUAUUAAAGUUGUUGCAGUUAAAAAGCUCGUAGUUGAAUUUUUGCUUGCCGCCGAUGUCGGAACUUCCGUACGUUCGGCGGCGUGCAUCCUUGGGUGGAACCUGUGUGGCAUUAGGUUGUCGUGCUGGGGAUGCCCAUCGUUUACUGUGAAAAAAUUAGAGUGUUCAAAGCAGGCUUACGCCGUUGAAUAUAUUAGCAUGGAAUAAUAAGAUAGGACCUUGGUACUAUUUUGUUGGUUUGCGCACCGAGGUAAUGAUUAAUAGGGACAGUUGGGGGUAUUCGUAUUCCAUUGUCAGAGGUGAAAUUCUUGGAUUUCUGGAAGACGAACUACUGCGAAAGCAUUUACCAAGGAUGUUUUCAUUAA